rnacentral:rRNA from 1 species
UAAGAAUGGGGCUAGCGUUGUUCGGAAUCACUGGGCGUAAAGCGCACGCAGGCGGAUCGAUAAGUCGGGGGUGAAAGCCCGGGGCUCAACCUCGGAAUUGCCUUCGAUACUGUCGGUCUCGAGUCCGGGAGAGGUGAGUGGAAUUCCUAGUGUAGAGGUGAAAUUCGUAGAUAUUAGGAAGAACACCAGUGGCGAAGGCGGCUCACUGGCACGGUACUGACGCUCAGGUGCGAAAGCGUGGGGAGCAAACAGG